AGGUGCAGAGAGUAGGCCCAGACUGCGUUCGGGAGGGGCAGCAAGGGCUUCAAUGGGCAGAAAACAAAAGAGCAGAAAGAGGGAGGAGUGCAUCAGGAAAGCACCUGGAGGAGCAGCAUCUGAGAGCCACUGGGAAGGGGAGUGAGCAGCCUGGGAGUGAGGCUAGAGACCCUGGAGAGGGAGGCAAGCCCCGAGUAGGAUAGCUCUACCUGCAUGACCUGGACCACCCCCAAAUCAAAGGACCCUAGGGAGCCAGGCCAACUUUGGAGGCCCCAGGCUGGCUCAGGGAUUAGGUCUGGACCUGAGGAAUCCAGGAUCCACUGGAAACAAUUCGGACUCUGCGACCAUGUGGUGGGAACAACAGCAUGUUCCAGCCAGCUCCCUUCCCAGGGGAGGCGUGGUGGGCUGCAGUCUUAUUGCCACCAGACCAGUCCUGGGAUCUAGACCUGCCAAUCCCCAUCCACACCAUCUCAUGCUUGCCUGACUCUGAGCUCUCUCUUGUCCAGAUCCUCCCUACCUUUGAGAUGCUGCAAUGCCCUGGUCCACAGUCUUAUGGGCUGCUAAUAACAGGGUUUCCAGCAGGAUCUUGGUGGCACUUCCACCUUUCAUCCGGGAGGAGCCGCUGAGACCCUCGGGCUGAGGAGGUGAAGACACCCAGGAGGAAUUGGGAGAGGAUGAAGACCCCAGAGACCACUUCCUGCCCCAGGACUGCCCAGUCAUUCCAGAAGGCUCACCUGGCCAUGCUCACUGGAUUGAAGCCAACCAAGACUGGCAAGAAGACAGCUGUGUUGUUCAUGCAGUAGUCCAUCUGGCCUGCCACAAAGGGAGCCUGAUGGUGAAGAGAGAGAAGGGCAUGAUGAGGGGGUCAUUACUCUGACUGGUGCCCGAGGCUCAAGUGCAUCAGAAUCCUUCAGAAUGCUUGUUCAAAAUGCAGAUUCCUAGGUAUAGUUACAAUCUACUGGAUCCACAUUUGAAGGGGGAGCACAUUUUUCACAAGUACCUCAAGGGCACUACAUUUUUAACAAGUUCCCCAAGGAAAUCUUCUGCAUGGUAAAGUUGGAAUACUAUUGAACUAAAUCAUAAGCUCUUUGAAGUCAA